AGAGAAUGCCCAGUGGAGUGUGAACGCGGAAACCUACGUGGCCCAUCAGAUCUUGAUCCACGUGUACGGUUUCUGUUCAAAGUUUGGUUCACGCUCACAACCUCCGGCUCCGGCGCUGCCACGUGCGCAUUUCCCUCGUUAUCAUUAUGGUCGCAGACUUCUGAUUCUAAUUCCACUGCGACAUCGUUUUGAGCUUCGAGGUCUGAUUCCGGAGGUAAAUCGGUGUGUUGCGGCGGCGAGUCAUUGGGUUCUGGUGUCAAAUUAGAUCGACAAACGGGACACGUCGUGUGAGAAGCUAGCCAAACGUCUAUACAGUCAGGGUGAAACACAUGAUCACAUUUAGGUAUUAAACGCAGCGUUUCAUCGUCUUCAAAUUCACACAAGCAAACCGCGCAUUCCAGCGCCGCUUUCCCUAUCUUGAGACCCUUCACUUCGGAGUAUACCAAAGUCGGAAAUGUCUGGAUCACAGCAGGAUCAAGCCCACGCGACGCGGCAGCGCGUCGGGAGCGACCACCGUUGGCUAGAGCCCGCACGCUUCCUCCGCUGCUGUUGCCGGAGCAGUGGCGUAUGUAAAUAGAAAAAAACCCCAUUAAGAAGAGCGCAGCAAUUAAGACGACGAUGAUUAUAGCCAUGGAAGGAGUAACACGUGCAUAACCAUACUGGUCCCGCGUGUCAUCAGGUGUUUGAGCGACGGCAAACGGAAUUGCAAGGAGGAAGAUAAUGGAGAGGGAAAAAAUCCCAUGUUUAUGAGUGGAAAAAGUCAUAUCUGGAGUUGCUGAAUCCCAGCUA
rnacentral:misc_RNA from 1 species